rnacentral:rRNA from 1 species
UGUGGUUAGCGGUGAAAUGCCAAUCGAACUCGGAGAUAGCUGGUUCUCCUCGAAACAGUUUUAGGACUGGCGUCAUGUGGUAGCAGUCGGGGGUAGAGCUCUGUAAAGGACUGGGGGGAGCAAUCCUACCCACCCUUAACAAACUACGAAUACCGGCUGUGGAAUCAUGGCAGUUAGAACGGCGGAGCUAAGUUCGUCGCUCAAAAGGGAAACAGCCCAGACCAUCGUCUAAGGUCCCUAAAUUUACGUUAAGUGGGAAACAAGGUGAGAUUUCUUAAACAGCUAGGAUGUUGGCUUAGAAGCAGCCAUUCAUUUAAAGAGUGCGUAACAGCUCACUAGUCAAGAGAUUUUGCGUGGAAAAUGUAACGGGGCUAAAGUGUUAAACCGAAGACAUGGACUUCUGCCUAUGCAGGAGUGGUAGAGGAGCGUUGAUAUCGCAGUGAAGUCAGAUUGGAAAGUCUGGUGGAGCGUUAUCAAGUGAGAAUGCUGGAAUUAGUAACCUUAAGACAGGUGAGAAUCCUGUCGGUCGUAAGAGCAAGGUUUCCAGGGCUACAGUAAUUGCCCCUGGGUUAGUCGGUCCUAAGCCGAGGCGUAUCAGCGUAGGCGAUGGACAACAGGUUAAUAUUCCUGUACAGGUAGUAGUUGUGAACAGUUCACGGUGAAUGACUGGAGCGGAUUAAUGGUUUAUCCGUCCAAGUCUUUAGGGAACUAAAGAUGAGUGAAAGGUAAUCUUCGGAUUAUUGAUUCUGGGUGAAGCACUGGCUAGAAAAGCUGGUUCACUUAUGCUGCUGCCUACCGUACCGCAAACCAACACCGGUGCUCGGGUCGAGUAGACCAAGACCUACGUGAGAACCUUCGCUAAGGAACUCGGCAAAAAAGCGUCCGUAACUUCGGAAUAAGGACUGCCCUCUCAUUAAGAUGAGGAUUUGCUAGAAACUCAGCAGAAGAUUCAGAUUACCUUUUAACUGAAUUUUUCGUUGAGACAGAACACAAAACAGGAUUUGUUUAACAAAUUCGUGUCUUUCCUAGUAGUCUAAUCGUCAUUUUGAUGAGAGGGCCGCAGCUAAAGAGCCCACGGAACUGUUUACCAAAAACAUAGGUCUCUGCUAACGCGAAAGCGGAUGUAUAGGGGCUGACUCCUGCCCGGUGUCGGAAGGUUAAGGGGAGAGCUUUACGGUUCGAACUGAAGCCCCGAUGAACGGCGGCGAUAACUAUGAUCGUCCUAAGGUAGCGAAAUUCCUUGUCUGGUAAGUUCAGACCCGCACGAAUGGAGUAAUCAUGUGGGCACUGUCUCGGCGAAGGCCACGGUGAACGUGCAUUGGCGGUAAAGAUGCCGUCUGAUCAUGCCAGGACGAGAAGACCCCAUGGAGCUUUACUACAACUUUGCAUUGAUUAUUGGGACAUUUUGUGUAGAAUAGGUGGAAGACUUUGAAGCAGAUACGCUAGUAUUUGUGGAGUCGAAAUGUGAAAUACCACCCUGAAUGUUUUAGUAAUCUCACUUUUGACCUGAUCGGCCAAAAGGACCGUGCAUGGCGGGUAGUUUAACUGGGGCGGUUGCCUCCUAAAGAGUAGCGGAGGCGUUCAAAGGU